UACAGAGGGUGCAAGCGUUAAUCGGAAUUACUGGGCGUAAAGCGUGCGUAGACGGUUAUGUAAGUCGGGUGUGAAAGCCCCGGGCUCAACCUGGGAAUGCCAUUCGAGACUGCAUAGCUAGGGUGCGGAAGAGGGAAGCGGAAUUUCCGGUGUAGCGGUGAAAUGCGUAGAUAUCGGGAGGAACACCUGUGGCGAAGGCGGCCCCCUGGGCCGGCCCUGACACUGAGACGCGAAGGCGUGGGGAGCGAACGGG
rnacentral:rRNA from 1 species